UUAAAAAUAUUAUUUUUUUAUUAUUAUUAUUAUGCUUUACUUGUACACCUCUCGGUUUUUACAAGACUGAUUCCUCUUUUUCUCCUAGCUCUACGCUUUUUCUAUUUCUCAUAUUGGACCUCAGCAAGUCCCACCCGACACUUCAUUUCUACUUUUUGCGGCUGUGGACCAACUUGUGCUUUCUGUACCAUAU